GUCAAUGACCCCUUUUAAAAACAGAAGUGAAGUUAAUGUUUUCUGACUUCUUAGGUUCCCAGUUCUGGAAACAGAACUCAAGAAAAAUAUAUGCUGUGCCUGAAAGUGACUUUGUGGAGUUUCAGAAUGGGAGAAGAGCUAAAACAAGUCGAAGGGAUGGAGAUUCAAGCCUGCAGGAGGUCCUUGGACGUGUUGACCAGCUGAAGCAAGCCGCUGGGAGUCUCCAAGAGGUCACUAAUUCAAUCAACCAGCUGUCUCAGCUGGCCAAGUCUCAAAAGGAGGAGAUAAUGGCAAAUGUCGGUUUGCAGCCCUUAAAGGAAGCCUUUGCAUGUCUUGUGUGUAAAGCUGUAAUGGCAGAUCCCAUGUUCGCCACAUGCUGUGAAUCGAUAAUUGGAUGUCGUACCUGUGUGGAGCUGUGGUUAGUCACAUCAGACCACUGCUUGAAAUGCAGGGCAGGAGAAUAAAAUACAUGAAGUGAAGGGUCUCUCUGCUGCCUUGUCACUUUUCAAGGAGAGAGAAAUUGAUUUGAUUUGAUAGAUAAUUGUUUGUUAUUGUUUGUUAUGUUUACAUUACUGGAACUACCUCAGUUUGUUUGUUGGAUGUUAUUAUGGGUACAUGACCAGAAAGAUGUUGUUUGUUGUAAUGUUUAUAUUGUG